rnacentral:lncRNA from 1 species
ACUGUGCCGUAUCAGACCAGAUAGAUCUAUUGAGUGAGAGAAAGGGAGAAAACUCUAAUUAGAUAUUCUUUUUAUAUUGAUAGGGAUCCCCAUUCAUUCCUAGAUUCCCGUCACUACGGACUGAUUGUCCCUACCUAACUACAUGGUAGUGGUCUAGGGAGCGCAAUUGCUAGAGCACGGGAGAAUUAAGAGUAAUGAUUUCAGCAAGAGCAGCCAGACGGACUACUAUAGUGAGUCUAGUGACUAUCUAGAGCACGGGAGAAAUAAGAGUAAUGAUUUCAGCAAGAGCAGCCAGACGGACUACUAGAGUGAGUCUAGUGACUACUAGAGUAGAGUUAAGUCAAAAGGUAUGGUAUAACAGCCUUUCCGAGCGAGCCUCUGGGAUCUCCUGUAAACCCCCAUGAUAUGGUAAAGGAGGAUAUUAGGGGAAGCAGUGAGUGGAGAUUCCCCUGCAGAGAGCCGGAUGAGGGGAGACCCUCACGUCCGGUUCGGAGGGCGGGGAUAUCCCGACCCUACUAUCAUUAUGCCUUUGCAAUGUUACUUGGUUCAACUCUAUUUGUGACCUUUUCUCGUAUGUGGGACUCUCUAUCUUCUUGGGUAGAU